rnacentral:rRNA from 1 species
UACAGAGGUCUCAAGCGUUGUUCGGAUUCAUUGGGCGUAAAGGGUGCGUAGGCGGCGCGGUAAGUCGGGUGUGAAAUCCCGGAGCUUAACUCCGGAACUGCGCCUCAAACUACACGGCUAGAGCAUUGGAGAGGGAAGUGGAAUUCACGGUGUAGCAGUGAAAUGCGUAGAUAUCGUGAGGAACACCAGAGGCGAAGGCGACUUCCUGGACAAUUGCUGACGCUCAGGCACGAAAGCGUGGGGAGCAAAAGGG